AUUGGAAGGGGUGUAUUUAUUAGAUUAAAAACCAAUGCCCUUCGGGGCUCACUGGUGAUUCAUGAUAACUCCUCGAAUCGCAUGGCCUUGUGCCGGCGAUGGUUCAUUCAAAUUUCUUCCCUAUCAACUUUCGAUGUUUGGGUAUUGGCCAAACAUGGUUGCAACGGGUAACGGAGGGUUAGGGCUCGACCCCGGAGAAGGAGCCUGAGAAACGGCUACUACAUCCAAGGAAGGCAGCAGGCGCGCAAAUUACCCAAUCCCGACACGGGGAGGUAGUGACAAUAAAUACUGAUACAGGGCUCUUUUGGGUCUUGUAAUUGGAAUGAGUACAAUUUAAAUCCCUUAACGAGGAACAAUUGGAGGGCAAGUCUGGUGCCAGCGGCCGCGGUAAUUCCAGCUCCAAUAGCGUAUAUUAAAGUUGUUGUGGUUAAAAAGCUCGUAGUUGAACCUUGGGCCUGGCUGGCCGGUCCGCCUCACCGCGUGUACUGGUCCGGCCGGGCCUUUCCCUCUGUGGAACCCCAUGCCCUUCACUGGGUGUGGCGGGGAACCUAGGACUUUUAC
rnacentral:rRNA from 1 species